GUGACAUACACUUCGUGUGACGUGUUUCUUUUUGUUAUGAAGGUGGAUAUUUUGUUCAGGUAAGAUUAUGAUUUUCUGUUAAUAUUGUAUAUGCAUUUUUGACAUAUUGCAUUCGAAAACUUAAUAAAAGCUUUCAUCAUUUUCUAGAGAUAUGACUAUUGACUUGAACUUAUUUCAAAAUGUUUGUCUUUAUAAGCAAGAAUGGAACAUGUAUGGUCAUGUAUUAUUAAAAAAAACAUAAAAUAUAAAGCAAUCGAUGAUUUGUUAACUGUUUAAAAGAAAUUGAUUUUUAUUUGAACCGAUAUUAUAUGAUAUCAUUAGAUUUUUGUUUAUAGUAAAACUGAUUUAAUUUUAAAUUCUUGAUCAUGUCGAUAUCAAUGUAAUACGGGCAAGGUCAAUGCUGUUGAUAUGUUAUACUUAACACAGCAAAUUUUGCACCAUUUUUUACGAUUAAUUGUUUUUCCAUGCUGACAGUACAAUUUCGUUUUAUGCAUUUUCUUUUACGUCUGCAUGAAAUUAGUAUUUCUUUUCUCUAAAAUAAAAAGGUAAAAAGUGCUGAGUUAACUGCAAUUAAUAUAAAGAAUAGAGUCAAUAUAUCUGGUUAUAAAGUCAAAAGUCAAAAUGAUAUAUGAUCUGAUAUACUAAACUAAGAAAAUGUUGCACCAUUUAUUAACGAUUAAUUGUUUUUCAAUUGUCACUGUACACUCGUAUUGGCCUUUGAAUUUUGAGCAUUUUUACGACAUUGUACGAAGCCAUCUUAAAAUCAGUCUUCAUGAAAAAAGUGCCGAAUAAACAGAAAACAGUAUAAAGAAUAGUCGAGAUAUCUGUUAUAAAGUCAUAGUAAAAAUAAUGAUCUGUUAUACUGAACUAAGCAAGUGUGUCAUUUUUACGAUUAAUUGUUUUCAAUGGUGACUGUACAAUUGGCCUUCCGCAUGUUACUAAAAAAUAAAUAAAACGGAAAGAUGUACAGCAAACAAUAUAAAGAAUAGAGACAAAUAGGUAAAAAAAAAGUAGAGAUUUAAUGGGGUGCUGAAAUAUAUAAGUAAAUUAAAAAAUGGUCUAAAAAGUUGAAAAUAAAGUAAUGAAGGACCCCAUCCCGACCCUAAUAGACUAACUGACUGACGGAAAGUGUGUUACCUUUAAUUAUUUGCUAAAUUUGGUUGCCAUUUUGAGUAUAGUGCUUACAAUUCAGGUUCGAUUUGAAGGUCAGGGGUGGACCAUUAGAUAUUCGGUGGAGUUGGGUUGUGUAACGAUUUUUGCAAUGAGCAUCAUGAAUAUUCUAGCCUGGUAAAAAAAUGAAGAAAAACAAAAUUACAGUCAAUAUUUUGUCCAAUAAAAAGUAGGACAAUCUCGAAUAGUUGUGUACGUGAGUGAGCCUCGCGAAAAAGAUAAUACAUAUUCUAGCAACAAAUAAAACAAGUGCACAAAAAUGAAUAACUUACAACCAAAAAAAACUGUCCUCACGUCACCCGAUGAAAUCAAUUGAUCGUUCAAUACGUUCGAAUAAUAAUUUUCUUGAAAAUUGAGUUCAAAUCUUCAAUUCUAGUUAGAGACGUAAUGAUUUUUUAGCUGACGCCCAAUCAAGUAGAAAACAUUCUGUAAUGGCGAGUAGACUUACCCCUGUUUUACUAACCAUUUGUUAUCUCUAAUGUCCAUCUUCUGUGUAGUGUUCAUCCUGUUUCAACCUCGAUAAUGAAGGUUUAGUGUCUAUAUGUUUGUCCGGUGGUUUGUGUUGUCGUCUAAUUUUUAGUGGUAAGUGAUCAAUAUUUCGGUGUUGAUUGUUAAGGAUGACUAACAUUUCGGUGGAGCCGGGUAUUAGUAGUUAUUGCUGUCAGAGAAGUCUCGUGUUGAUGGUUAUCGUCCAAUAUACUGUCCAGUAUUUCAUGUAUUUCUUGUUAUUGAAGUUUGUACGUUUAAAUCUGUAAAUUAUAUAUCGAAACUUUUUAACCAUAGUAACGAAAACUCGUAAACGAAUGACGAAUACUCAUUGAAACUCUCAAACUAGUUCUGUAAAAUUCAGUUAACCGAGAAUACACAUGUUACACACGACUACGAAAGACAAACGAUGAGGGACGCAAAUGUAUGAGAAAAUCUUACAUUUUCCCUCCAGGUAAUAUGAGACAUAAACAUGUCGUUAAAAACAUGCAUAUUGUUGUUUAACUUUUCGCCAUUAGUAUGUUUUGCUAUCUCGUUGUCGGUUUUUUUUUUACGUUAGUGUCGUCUUCCUUUUUUGUGCAGCUCGAUAAAAAAAACACAUAAAAAAACCGAAAACCUAUCAGCGCCCUUUUUCACAUUAAAAAGUUGCGACAAAAAUAAUCAUAAGUUAUACAUGUUAUACUGAAAUGUUCAUGACUUAUUCUUUCUCGUAAGAUUUUUUUUUGGUGAAAUUGAUCACAGAAAAGCAUUAUAAGUAAGUUGUUACGAAUCUUAAUAUUUGAUACAUUUGAUACAUAUUUGAUACAUAUUUCAGGCAUCACUAUGGCUACUAGUACAACUAUUUGUGGUCCAUGUUCAGAACGAUAUACGACCAAACCAUCAGCAUACUGGUGCUCGGAUUGUCAAGAAGCCAUUUGUGAUGACUGUCAAGAACAUCAUAAAGUACUCAAAGUCACACGAAGUCACGAACUCAUACCAAUUGACAAGUACAAAUCUCUUCCCUCCUUCAUUACUGAUAUACAGCAGUCAUGUACCUAUCACAAUGAAAAAUAUCAACAAUACUGUGUUGCGCAUGCGUUACCUAUUUGUUUCAAAUGCAUUAAAGAACACCAAAAAUGCAACGUCAUAACUCUUGACGAAGUCACUAAUAACGCUAAGACAUCCGGGCAUUUACAAGAUUUAGAAACAAGACUGAUGGACUUAUUACAGAACAUUGAUAGAAUUCGAGAAGGACCGAAAGGCUAAUUUGGUAAGUAUUGAAGAAAGGAAGGAGCUGCAUCUUGCAGAAAUUAAACAAAUAAGAAAUCAAAUAAACAAACAUUUAGACAAACUUGAAAAAGAAAUAAUACAAGAUCUUGAAGUAAAAGAGUCUCAAUGUAAGGAGAAUAUUCAGAAGAUUUUAACAGAUCAGUUGAAGAAAAGAAAAACUGAUAACAGAAUAUCAGACCAAUCUCCAAUCAAUCAAACAACAUGCUUCCGAUCUUCAAACAUUUCUUGUGAUGAGAGAAUAUUGAAGUGAAGGUUUUUGAAAAUGAACAAUAUUUACAAUCGUUGGUUGAAACUAACAAAUUGGGCCCAGUAGACCUGACUUGUAAUGUAAACCCAGGGGUGCUUAGUAUCUUCGACAGUUUGAAAACUUUUGGAGCAAUUGAAAUUGACAAGAAGUCGAGUAGCAUUCGUUUAAUCAGAGAGAAAGAUAAACAAGCACAGUUACAAGUAACGCCAACGAAGACCAUGACGACUUGAAGUUGAUUCUACAAAAGACAAUAACAACAGGCGGGGAUGCAAAUUAGAGGUUGUUGCAUGUCAGUUAAUGGCGAAUUUUUCUUUACCGACUAUGACUUACGGAAAAAACUAAAUGUAUUGCGUCUGAUGGUAAAUUCAAAUUUGAUAUGUUGCUAGAUCCUAGUUAUGGGUAUGACAUAACAAUAAUUAAUGAGAAAACAAUCGCUAUCACAUCUGGAAGAUCCAAUGAGCACAUCGGUAUUGACAUAAUAGACACCGAGAGCCGAAAGAAAAUUAAAUUCAUCAGCCUUCCUGAUCGUCCAUGGGGAAUCACACGUGAUCAAGACUCGCUGUUUGUCUGUGUUGAAAGGACGUGGUAUAUAUAGAGUAAACACCUUGGAUUAUACUACCUCUCACUUGAUUAGCUGUAAAUUAUCAGGAUUGACUUACAUAUCUGUAUUCGCCGAGAAGAUAUACUACACUGACUGGUUUGAUCACAGUGUAGUUUGUUGUGAUCGUAAUGGAUCACAUGUUUGGAGGUUUAAAAAAGAAUCAGUUUUGCAAAAUCCGAGAGGCAUCACUGUAGAUAAUGAUGGAAACGUGUUCGUUGUUCGGAGCGCUUGUCGUCGAAUGUGGUCAUUAUAUCAAACGAUGGAAAACACCACAGACAAAUUUUGACCAAAGAACAAGGUCUAUCGGAACCGUCUGCUAUUUUCUUUGAUAAACAGACGGGGAAACUUCUUCUUGCAAACACCAGAAAAAAUGCUUUCCUUUACAGUGUUACUUAAAAUGAUUGGAAUUGAAAUGACUCAUUCGUCUGCUGUUUUCUUUGAUUCACAAAAUUUUUUGCUAUAAAUAUAAGAAGAAGCAUAUUAUUUCUUUAAGCAUUUUAAUAAAUGUAUAAACAAGAAUUUAGCCAUAUUUGCAGAUAUUUGAACAUCCCUACAAAAUGUCCUGGGGUCGCCACUGAUUCUUGACCAAAAAGUCAGUUAUUUUAUUUUUGUAUUGUUUUGCAAUAAAAAGUAAAAUAACAAAAAUACUGAACUCCGACGAAAAUUCAAAAAGGAAAGUCCCUUAUCAAUUGGCAACAUCUAUCGCUCAAACACAUCAAAUGAAUGGAUAACAACUGUCCUAUUUCUGACUUGGUACAAACAUUUCGGUGGUAGUGAACCGUAAAAGAAUACAGGGGUGAUAUUGGAACCUACUGAUGCUUUAAAUAAUGUUAUGAGUGUUGACACAGGCGUACAAUAAAUCGAUUUUCAAAUAAUUGGUAAGUAAAUUAGCUGAUAAUUCCUUGGAUUUAUUACAUGUAUUAUCUGAAUGAACGAAUGAAUGAACUGAAUUGUCUAGCGUGUCGAAUGCAGUGUAAGGCAAUUUGAUAACACGAUAUCUCAGUAGCAUGAGUUCGAAUAACGGCGAGGGAAGAACAAAACAUUUGGGAAAGGAAAUUUAUAGAUCUAACAUUGUUGGGCUGAUGUUUAGACGAAUUAUAUAUAACUAAAUGCAUGUGUGAAAAAAAACAUG
rnacentral:lncRNA from 1 species